UAGGGAAUCUUCCACAAUGGACGCAAGUCUGAUGGAGCAACGCCGCGUGAGUGAAGAAGGUUUCCGGAUCGUAAAGCUCUGUUGUUGGUGAAGAAGGAUAGAGGCAGUAACUGGUCUUUAUUUGACGGUAAUCAACCAGAAAGUCACGGCUAACUACGUGCCAGCAGCCGCGGUAAUACGUAGGUGGCAAGCGUUGUCCGGAUUUAUUGGGCGUAAAGCGAGCGCAGGCGGAAUGAUAAGUCUGAUGUGAAAGCCCACGGCUCAACCGUGGAACUGCAUCGGAAACUGUCAUUCUUGAGUGCAGAAGAGGAGAGUGGAAUUCCAUGUGUAGCGGUGGAAUGCGUAGAUAUAUGGAAGAACACCAGUGGCGAAGGCGGCUCUCUGGUCUGCAACUGACGCUGAGGCUCGAAAGCAUGGGUAGCGAACAGG
rnacentral:rRNA from 1 species